GCACACAGAGUUUGGGAAAGGGCAGCCUUUUCUCUGUGCCCCUGGGUAGGAUGGGGGGCUUUCCACCAUGCAGACAGGGUCUAGGGUAGCAUGCAAGCCAGCCAGGCACAGGAGCCCAGCCACCUCCUCACCAUUGCUUCAUCCUAGUCCUGAGCUGCAGGACUCUCUGCACCUGAGGAUACACCAGAAAUGGAGAUAGCAGCCCUCUCCGAACCUGCUGGGGAGAAUGACAGAAGCCGUGUGCACACCAGACCUCAAUGCACAGAGCACGACUCUGCACUGGAACAACCCUCAUCCUUCGGCAAAGCAGGCGGCUGCCAGACUGGCUGUGCCCCUCAUCACAUAUCUUCACACUAUGGAGGCCAUGAAGGCUGAACUUCAUGGGUGUGAGUCCCAGCUCCCGGGUCCCCAUAAAGGACCCCUGCAUAGGGCUCAGCAGAGGCGGUGGAACAUGAACAUACCACAAAGGUGUGGAAUGUGGAGUCAUUGGUGGAUUGACUCUACCUGCAUGCAGAAUUCUGUGUGGCUGUUUGGUGCUGGGGUCUGACUCCAGGGGCCUUGAACACACUCAGCAUUUACUCUACCAGUGAGCCUCACCCAUACCUCCUGCCUUCUGCUUUUAUAAAUUUACCCAAGUCCUA